rnacentral:lncRNA from 1 species
AUGGUAGAAGGGUGUUUUACUAUGUCAGAAGGGUGUUUUACUAUGUCAGAAGGGUGUUUUACUAUGGUAGAAGGGUGUUUUACUAUGGUAGAAGGGUGUUUUACUAUGGCAGAUUGGUGUUUUACUAUGGUAGAAGGGUGUUUUACUAUGUCAGAAGGGUGUUUUACUAUGGUAGAAGGGUGUUUUACUAUGUCAGAAGGGUGUUUUACUAUGGCAGAUGGGUGUUUUACUAUGGUAGAAGGGUGUUUUACUAUGUCAGAAGGGUGUUUUACCAUGUCAGAAGGGUGUUUUACUAUGGCAGAAGGGUGUUUUACUAUGGUAGAAGGGUGUUUUACUAUGGUAGAAGGGUGUUUUACUAUGUCAGAAGGGUGUUUUACUAUGGUAGAAGGGUGUUUUACUAUGUCAGAAGGGUGUUUUACUAUGGCAGAAGGGUGUUUUACUAUGGUAGAAGGGUGUUUUACUAUGUCAGAAGGGUGUUUUACUAUGGCAGAAGGGUGUUUUACUAUGUCAGAAGGGUGUUUUACUAUGGCAGAAGGGUGUUUUACUACGGUAGAAGGGUGUUUUACUAUGGUAGAAGGGUGUUUUACUAUGACAGAAGGGUGUUUUACUAUGGUAGAAGGGUGUUUUACUAUGUCAGAAGGGUGUUUUACUAUGGUAGAAGGGUGUUUUACUAUGGUAGAAGGCGAGUCAGAAGGGUGUUUUACUAUGGCAGAAGGGUGUUUUACUAUGGCAGAAGGGUGUUUUACUAUGGUAGAAGGGUGUUUUACUAUGGUAGAAGGGUGUUUUACUAUGUCAGAAGGGUGUUUUACUAUGGUAGAAGGGUGUUUUACUGUGUCAGAAGGGUGUUUUACUAUGGUAGAAGGGUGUUUUACUAUGGUAGAAGGGUGUGUUACUAUGGUAGAAGGGUGUUUUACUAUGGUAGAAGGGUGUUUUACUGUGUCAGAAGGGUGUUUUACUAUGGUAGAAGGGUGUUUUACUAUGGUAGAAGGGUGUGUUACUAUGGUAGAAGGGUGUUUUACUAUGGUAGAAGGGUGUUUUACUAUGGUAGAAUGGUGUUUUACUAUGGUAGAAGGGUGUUUUACUAUGGUAGAAGGGUGUUUUACUAUGGUAGAAGGGUGUUUUACUAUGGCAGAAGGGUGUUUUACUAUGGUAGAAGGGUGUUUUAGUAUGGUAGAAGGUUGUUUUACUAUGGUAGAAGGGUGUUUUACUAUGGUAGAAGGGUGUUUUACUAUGGUAGAAGGGUGUUUUACUAUGGUAGAAGGCGAGGCAGAAGGGUGUUUUACUAUGGUAGAAGGGUGUUUUACUAUGGCAGAAGGGUGUUUUACUAUGGUAGAAGGGUGUUUUACUAUGGUAGAAGGGUGUUUUACUAUGGUAGAAGGGUGUUUUACUAUGGUAGAAGGGUGUUUUACUAUGGUAGAAGGGUGUUUUACUAUGUCAGAAGGGUGUUUUACUAUGGUAGAAGGGUGUUUUACUAUGGUAGAAGGGUGUUUUACUAUGGUAGAAGGGUGUUUUACUAUGGUAGAAGGGUGUUUUACUAUGUCAGAAGGGUGUUUUACUAUGUCAGAAGGGUGUUUUACUAUGGUAGAAGGGUGUUUUACUAUGGUAGAAGGCGAGGCAGAAGGGUGUUUUACUAUGGUAGAAGGGUGUUUUACUAUGGUAGAAGAGUGUUUUACUAUGGUAGAAGGGUGUUUUACUAUGUCAGAAGGGUGUUUUACUAUGGUAGAAGGGUGUUUUACUAUGUCAGAAGGGUGUUUUACUAUGGUAGAAGGGUGUUUUACUAUGGUAGAAGGGUGUUUUACUAUGGUAGAAGGGUGUUUUACUAUGGUAGAAGGGUGUUUUAGUGGCCGUUGUUGCCGUGAUAAAGUAUUUGCCCCCUUUUUAGUUCUCUCCACAUUUGCAUAUUUUUGA